rnacentral:rRNA from 1 species
AGAGAGAGACAUGCGCGCAUAUCAAUAAGCGGAGGAAAAGAAACUAACAAGGAUUCCCUUAGUAACGGCGAGUGAAGCGGGAAGAGCUCAAAUUUGAAAUCUUCAAGGUUUUACCUUGACGAAUUGUAGUUUAAAGAAGUGUUUUCUGUUGAAGUUUUGGUAAAAGUUCUUUGGAAUAGGACAUCAUAGAGGGUGAGAAUCCCGUAUUUGACCAUUAUUUUCAGCUGUGUGAUACACUUUCAAAGAGUCGGAUUGUUUGGGAAUGCAGUCCAAAAUGGGUGGUAAAUUUCAUCUAAAGCUAAAUAUUGGCGAGAGACCGAUAGCGAACAAGUACCGUGAGGGAAAGAUGAAAAGAACUUUGAAAAGAGAGUUAAACAGUACGUGAAAUUGUCAAAAGGGAAGCGUUUGACACCAGUGUUGUUUUCUCGAAAAUCAAUUAAAAAAGGCAGGAUUUUGUGUUGUAUUGACUUUAUCAGCUUUCCGCACUCUUUUCUUGUCUUUUUUAAUGCACUUUUCGUUUAACAAGUCAACAUCAAUUUCUUUUGUUGUAAAAGGGUCAUUGGAAGGUGGCUUUCUUUUCGGAGAAAGUGUUUAUAGCCUUUGGCCUCUGCAAUCGGAGAGACUGAGGUCUGCAGCGUAGAUCCUUCGGGGCUAGAUACAUUUGUGCUAAGUUAUAGCAUUUUAUAGACAACUUGUUGACUAUGAUUAGUCAUUGUAGCUUACUCGCUUAUGUUAUUUUACCUACGCUUAGGAUGUUGAUGUGAUACUGCGAGCA